AGGUCAAGCAAUAAGGGCACAGGGCGGAUGCCUUGGCACUAAGAGCCGAUGAAAGACGUGAUAAGCUGCGAUAAGCUUCGGGGAGGAGCAAAUAUCCAUUGAUCCGGAGAUGUCUGAAUGGGGAAACCCACAUGAGCAAACCUCAUGUAUCCUACAGCCAAUACAUAACUGUAGGAAGGGAACCCGGGGAACUGAAACAUCUAAGUACCCGGAGGAAAAGAAAGAAAACUCGAUUCCGUAAGUAGCGGCGAGCGAACGCGGAGGAGCCUAAACCGGAAUGCGUGCAUUCCGGGGUUACGGACUGCAUUUAAGAUUCUUUGAAGCUAACAGAACGGUUUUGGGAAAGCCGGCCGGAGAGGGUGAAAGCCCCGUACGUGAAAGCUGAUGAGACUGAGCAGGAUCCAGAGUACCACGAGACACGUGGAACCUUGUGGGAAAUCAGGGGGACCACCCCCUAAGGCUAAAUACUACUUAGUGACCGAUAGCGCAUAGUACUGUGAAGGAAAGGUGAAAAGGACCCCGGGAGGGGAGUGAAAGAGAACCUGAAACCCUGUGUCUACAAGCUGUGGAAGCACUUUAUAUGUGCGACCGCGUACUUUUUGUAGAACGGUCCGGCGAGUUACGCUUACUGGCAAGGUUAAGCACUUCAGGUGUGGAGCCGUAGGGAAACCAAGUCUUAAGAGGGCCUUAAGUCAGUAGGAGUAGACCCGAAACCGGGUGAUCUAUCCAUGUCCAGGUUGAAGCUGCCGUAAGAGGUAGUGGAGGACCGAACCCACAUCCGUUGAAAAGGGUGGGGAUGAGGUGUGGAUAGGGGAGAAAUUCCAAUCGAACCCGGAGAUAGCUGGUUCUCCUCGAAAUAGCUUUAGGGCUAGCCUCGAUACAGAUUUGCGGAGGUAGAGCACUGAAUUUCCUAGGGGGCGUCAAAGCCUACCGAAGAAUAUCAAACUCCGAAUGCCGCGUAAUCGAUUAUCGGGAGUCAGACUGCACGAGAUAAGUUGGGCGGUCAAAAGGGAAAGAGCCCAGACCUUCAGUUAAGGUCCCCAAGUGCGCGUUAAGUGGAAAAGGAUGUGGGAUUUCGAAGACAACCAGGAUGUUGGCUCAGAAGCAGCCAUCCAUUCAAAGAGUGCGUAAUAGCUCACUGGUCGAGAGGUCCUGCGCCGAAAAUGUCCGGGGCUGAAACGCGCCACCGAAACUAAGGAACCGAAAGGUUGGUAGAGGAGCAUUGCAUGCGGGAAGAAGCAGUACCGGAAGGAGCUGUGGACUGCAUGGAAGAGAGAAUGCCGGAAUGAGUAGCGAGAAUAAGGUGAGAAUCCUUAUGGCCGAAUAUCCAAGGUUUCCAGAGUAAAGCUGAUCUGCUCUGGGUAAGUCGGGGCCUAAGGCGAGGACGAGAGUCGUAGCCGAUGGACAACAGGUGGAGAUUCCUGUACUGCGGUAUGACAGAACUGUGGGGACACGUAAGGAAAGCGGAAGCCGGGAAUGGAAAGCCCGGUGCAAGCGGGGUACCAGCCACUCUGGCAAAUCCGGGUGGCAAUGGGAAGCCGUGAUGCGGAGCGAAAUAAAGUAGCGAAGUCCGUGAGCCAUGCGUCAAGAAAAGCCGCUAUCGUUUAUACCGUACCCGUACCGUAAACCGACACAGGUGGAUGAGGAGAGAAUCCUAAGGCCGGCGGAAGAAGCAUUGUCAAGGAACUCGGCAAAAUGGCCCCGUAACUUAGGGAUAAGGGGUGCCUGGGAAACCAGGCCGCAGAGAAUAGGCUCAAGCAACUGUUUAGCAAAAACACAGGUCUAUGCGAAACCGAAAGGUGAGGUAUAUGGGCUGACGCCUGCCCGGUGCUGGAAGGUUAAGAGGAGAGGUUAGCGGUAACGCGAAGCUUUGAAUUUAAGCCCCAGUAAACGGCGGCCGUAACUAUAACGGUCCUAAGGUAGCGAAAUUCCUUGUCGGGUAAGUUCCGACCCGCACGAAAGGCGUAAUGAUUUGAGCGCUGUCUCGACAAUGCAUCCGGUGAAAUUGAAGUACCAGUGAAGAUGCUGGUUACCUGCGCCAGGACGGAAAGACCCCAUGGAGCUUUACUCCAGUCUGGUACUGGGACUCGGUAUUGCAUGUACAGGAUAGGUGGGAGGCU
rnacentral:rRNA from 1 species